rnacentral:rRNA from 1 species
UACGUAGGGGGCAAGCGUUGUCCGGAUUUACUGGGCGUAAAGCGCGCGUAGGCGGAAGCUCAAGUCUGGCCUGAAAGCCCCCGGCUCAACCGGGGAGUGGGGCUGGAAACUGGGUUUCUUGAGGGCGAUAGAGGAGUGUGGAAUUCCUGGUGUAGCGGUGAAAUGCGUAGAGAUCAGGAGGAACACCGGUGGCGAAGGCGGUGGUCUGGGCCGGUACUGACGCUGAGGAGCGAAAGCGUGGGGAGCGAACAGG